GAACCGCAACUGUCUUGCAGCAGCAGUCAUCUGUUUCCCUGGCAAGAGGAGGAAUCUGCUCCCCAGCUUCCCCGGGUCACUUUUUGAAGGCGAGCACGUGCUCCUCGGCGGCAGCCCCGGCUCGCUGAAGGCGCUCGGCCUCUGCGCAAGGUCUGCAGGUGUGCAGGGCAGAGGUAAUCAGCUCAGCCUCCAAAAGCCCUCUCUGGCCACCACCCCUCCACUAGCCUUGACCCUGGCAGCACCUUCAAAGGGAGUAUGGCUCUGCUGCGGAGCGUGCAAUGUUUGCUCACUUAUCGGGCCAGCAGCUACCGCCUCCCUGCCCUGGGGGGUUUCGUCAACCUCCUGCAACACUCCGGGGGAGACCGGUCAGCCACCGCUGCUU
rnacentral:lncRNA from 1 species